UCCCCGUUACCGAGGCAGUCUGAUUAGAAAAAUUCAACUAAUCACAAGGGUUGCGCUCGUUGAUGGACUUAACCAAACAUCUCACGACACGAGCUGAAGACGGCCAUGCAUCACCUGUCACUUGGCUCCCAAAGGCACACUCUGCUUUCGCAGAAUUUCCAAGGAUGUCAAGCCUGGGUAAGGUUCUUCGCUUACCUUCGAAUUAAACAACACGCUCCACCGCUUGUGCGGGUCCCCGUCAAUUCCUUUAUGUUUUAGUCUUGCGACCGUACUCCACAGGCGGGAUGCUUAACGCGUUAGCUUCGCUACAUACCGGGUCGAUACGGCAUACAGCUAGCAUCCAUCGUUUACGGCGUGGACUAA
rnacentral:misc_RNA from 1 species